GCUGGGCAUGGUGGCGCAUGCCUGUAAUCCCAGUUACUUGGGAGGCUGAGGUAGGAGAACUGCUUGAACUGGGAUGUGGGAGGCAGAGGUUGCAAUGAGCCGAGAUCACACCACUGCACUUCAGCCUGGCGUGAUCUCGGCUCACUGCAACCUUUGCCUCCAUCUCAAAACAGAGCAAGACUCCAUCUCAA
rnacentral:sRNA from 1 species